GGGCGGUUAGCUCAGCUGGCUAGAGCGCCUGCUCGACACGCAGGAGGCCGUAGGUUCAAGUCCUAUACCGCCCA
rnacentral:tRNA from 1 species